GCAGGUUUCUGGCUCCUGUAAUUAUCAUGGCUUAUAAAAUGGUUUCGUUUGUCGCGUCUGUUUUGGCUUUUUCCUCUUGGACCUAUUAUUUUCCAGGUGAUAAACCAGCACAUCCAGGGAUGGUUCAUUUUCCACUGGAAAUGCAGUCAAUGAAAAAGGUGGAAGAACAGGGAAGGAAAUUAAAAGAGCAGCAGAUGAAUGUAGUUUUAAAACAGAAAGAAGACUUUAAAACAGAACCUGUAAUAGACGUGACUGCGAUUCAUCGCUCAGAAGAACUGUUCUUCACGUCUGCAGUCUCCACUUUGAGUGGACCUCUCCCUCUGGACACAGUGGUCACCAUUCUUCUGAUGCACAUGUGUGGAGCUGAUCUGGUGGCAGCCAUGUCUGCAGGGAUUCUCCAUCUUCUCCUUCAGUGUCUUCAUGGACUUGGUGUUUGGGAUGAUCACUCUUAAUUACAUCAACAAGAUCAAGAGUGAGAGAGAAGAAUUACGGAAAACAAACUGUGAGCUUCAGAGGAAGCUCCAGCUGACGGAGCAGGACUGCAGAGAUGAAGCUGCAACGCUGCAGGAAGUGAAGAACAAACUGAAGACCUGGAUGCAUCACAUCAGAGUC